AAAAUAUAUUUUAUUAAGAGCUACUUAUCUGUAAGCUUGAACUCACAAGUAUAGUUUUAGCUAUCUAGACUCUAACAGCUUUUGCUUUAAAACUAUUAAAGCAUUUGUGGUUUUUUUGUUUUGUUUUUGUUUUUUUCUUUUUUGAGACCAGAGUCUUGCUCUGUUGCCCAGGCUGGAUCUCGGCUGCAACCUCCACCUCCCGGGUUCAAGUGAUUCUCCUGCCUCAACCUCCCAAGUAGCUGGGAUUACAGGCACCCGCAACCACACUUGGCUAAUUUUUGUAUUUUUAGUAGAGACGGGGUUUCACCAUGUUGGUCAGGCUGGUCUCGAACUCCUGACCUCGUGAUCUGCCCGCCUCAGCCUCCCAAAGUGCUGGGAUUACAGGCAUGAGCCACCGCACCUCGCCGGGUAAUGAUUCUUGAGACAAGAGGUGGUUAAGUAGCAUUAUUAUGUAAUGUUUAUAUACCAUGGAGUUUUUACAAGAAGAUAAAUCUAUUUCCUCUGAGGGCCACUAUUAACAAUGUACUUCCUUAAAUUUAGUUAAGUGAUCGUAAUACGUGCUGCAUUUGCACAUUGCAUUAAGUUAUGAUGAGCUGAAUUGUUACAAAUUAUAGCAAAAAGAAGUGUAAACUUGGCUAAAAUCCUUCCAUUCUUUGUAUUUUUUUAAAGAUUUUUAUUCCUUAAAUGCAAAAUGACUACCUAAUUUUUUUAUGUAAAUUCAUUAAAUUCAAAGAGAAAAAAAGAUUAGUCAUUGAACAGUAACAACAACGAAAACAAAUUAGAGAUACUCUGAAAUCUUAGAGUUCACAUAUGACAAAAAUUUGAUGGAAAUUUCCUAAAACUGUGAUCCCAAGCAUUUAUGUGAUAGUACAAAUAAUGAGUUAUGAAGCUCACAGAAACUUUUCCAAAUUCUUAAUGAAAAACAAAUUUGAUCAACCAUGCUACUGGAAAGACUAAUCUAUCUUUAUAUGUACCCUCUUGAUAGAAAAUACUACAAAAAUCUUUGUUAUAUGAAGUCGUGACCCAAGAAUAUAUAGAGCCAAAAAAUGAAGGCAUAAUUAUAUAGGGGUGUCAGGGCAAUUAAGUACCAUGUAUAUAUAUAUAUUUUUAAUUUUGUGAUUCUUGUGGCAGUUAAAUAUUUUUAAAAUGUGUAAUUGAUAGCAAUUUCUUUUCUCACUUUAAAUCAACACUCAAACCUAAUUUUGUAUAAAUAUUCUUGUCAUCUUUUUCUUUUAAAAAGCCUCUAAAAUUAUGUAAGCUUCAGACCCCAAAAGGAGUAACUUAUCAAGAGGAAAAGAUCCUAGAUUCACUUCUGCUUCUACUUAUUCUACUUCUGGAUUUAUUAAACCAUUACUCAGAUUUUAAAACACACCACACACAAAGAAAAGUUUCUAAAAUAAAUGAGCUAACAUGGAUUUUUUUCAUAUUCUCCAUCUUCUUGAUAGCCCAGAGAUCCUGAUACUCUUUGGACUUUGGUAGUGGAAUGGUAGAUGUGUGUUGAGAAUGGAAGGGAGUUAAGGAUGGGGUUCUAGAAUUCAGAUGCCCUCUUAGGGUUUGAAAUGUGGGGGAAAAAAAAAGAGAAUCACUGCUUAUCUUAGUCUGUUCGGGUAGCUGUAACAAAAUACCAUACCUGAGUGACUUACAAGUAAUAGAAAUGUUAUUUCUCACAUUUCUGGAGUCUGGGAAGCCCAAGAUCAAGGUGCUAGCAGAUUUGGUGUCUGGUAUCUACUGACCUGGUUAUCGCUUCUUCCUUUAAGGAGUAUUAGAACACUGCUGGGGAUGGGCUGACAAACAUACCAGGGAUUUUACUUUGUGUCAGCCAAGAGGCUUUCCUUACCUCCUUGUCUUCAGUACUCUUGUGCACAAGCAUGCUUCUCAGAGAAGGUGGAUUCUACCUUGGAAGGAAAUGAGUCGUUUCCUCCCAUCAGGACAACUGCCACAGCAUGGUGUCAACUCACUCUUGCCUUUCGUAAAUUGAGUUUGUCAGUGCUCAGCGACACAGCUGAGUGAAAUGUUGUGUGAUGCGGGCUGUCUCCUGGGAGAGAGAAACUGGCAUAAACCACAUCCUAAUGGGAUCCAGAAACAAAGAAGCGUGAAUGAAGUGUUAAUUGCAUUCAUAAAGACAUUAACAAAGGAAUUAAAAUGGCAGAAGCUUCAGUCCCCCACUCAAGAUUCACAGAAAAAUAUGUUAUCCAAAGAAUGUUUCAACAAUAAUCAUCAAAGUUUAUUGCUUGCCCAUUGGGGAAAUAACUCUUGAUACAUAUUAACUUUUCAAAGAACAUUUUGGGUCCAUUAUUUUGAGUAUAUUAACUAACAGACAGUUUAUUCCACCCUACCUCCAGUUCUUUGCUUGCUUUUGUAUGAUUUAAGUUUCAAAAAAAUCCAGAGGCAUUUUCAGUGCUGCUUCAUUAACCAUAAGGAUGUCUGUUAACAGUUUGAACCUAAUCAAUCCUACAGUUCUUAUUAGAGCAAAAUGCUCAUUAUCUGGGAGAAUUUUUGCUUUUUGAAAUAAAAUUACAAGACUGGGGGUUUAUUUUACAGUCCCUCUUGAAUAUUCCUGAGAUGAUCUGCAAUGUGGGCAACCCGGGGCUCCCUCCCCAGCCCUGUGGCAGGGCCCCCCAGCUGCUGACAGCGGGGCUAAGCUGGCAAAAGGUCAGGAGGCUGCAUUUCACUGAAGAUGGAUCGCACAGAUGAAUAUUGCGCUUGCUUAAUGAAGUCAAGGCCACGGAUUUGGGGCCUUUUAUGGUUCUUCUUGUUUCACUCAAUUUCACCUUCAUAGACCACGCCACUAAUCCCAGCCAAUCAUUUUGUAGAUAUGUGCAACUGGUGACUAAGGGACUAGAUAAAAGUAAAUGAAUCUAAAAAACAGUGACCAGAAAUUCAGAAAUCUCUGUGCCUAUAACAAACUCAGAAUUAAAAAAAAAAAGCAUGCAGAGUGAGUGUUUCGUGAUCCUUGCAGAAACUCUGUGAGAUAUAUGGAGCCGACAUUCCUACCUUCAUUCUGCAGUGUUGGAGGUGAAGCUUGGUGGAAGGUGAUUGGAUCAUGGGGGUGGACAUCUCAUGAAUGAUUUAGCACGAUCUCCUUGGUGCUGUUCUUAUGAUGAUAUUUUUCAGACCCUGCAUCCUGAUGAACCAACUGGCACCACCCAGACUGGUAAACUGGCCCAACUUGUUCUGCCAUCCCACCCAGAAACUGAAGACAGCAAGAAGAACCUGCUUCAACCCCCUAUGAUUUCAGCCCCAACCCAACCAAAGCAUUCCCCCACUCCCUAGCCCCAUGACCACCAAAUUACGCUUAAAAAACCCUAGUCUUCAAAUUUUUGGGGAGACCAAUUUAAGUAAUAAAAUUCUGGUCUUCUGUUUAGCCAGCUCUGCAUUUAUUAAACUAUUUCUCUAUUGUAAUAAUGCUAUCUCAGUAAAUUGGCUCUGUCUGUGCAAGUGCAACAGGCAAGAACAACUGUAAGGGCAGUUAUAAUCUCAAAGCAGCCAUUUUAUUGGGCCAAAUCACUUUUGUCCCAGUAUAGCCAUAUGUUGCUUAAUGACGUGGAUAUGUUUUGUGAAAUGCAUCAUUAGGUGAUUUUGUCAUUGUGUGACACCAUACAGUGUGCUUAUACAAACCUAGAUGGCACAGCCUACUACACACCUAGGCUAUAUGGUUUAGCUCCUUCCUCCUGGGCUACAAACCUGUACAGUAUGUUACAGCACUGACUACUGUAGGCGAUUGUAAUACAAUGGUAAGCAUUUGUGUAUCUAAAAGUAUCUAAAUAUAGAAAAAGUACAGUAAAAAUACAGCAUUAUACUCUUAUGGGACCACCAUGAGAGCUGUGGUCUGUUGGUGACUGAAACCAUAUUGUGCAGCACAUGACUGUGUUUGUGAGCUUCUUCAGAUUUUGAUGGGAAGAAAACAGUUGGAUGACACAGUGACUGGCAAUAAUUAAAGUGGAAAAGGUACCAAAUUGUAUCUCAAUAUUUGGUGUUUUUAAGUCUGGCUCUAGGCCGGACGCAGUGGCUCACACCUGUAACACCAGCACUUUGGGAGGUCGAGGGGGGCGGAUUACCUGAGGUCGGGAGCUUGAGACCAGCCUGACCAACAUGGAGAAACCCCGUCUCUACUAAUAAUACAAAAAUUAGUCGGGCGUGGUGGCGCAUGCCUGUAAUCCCAGCUACUCAGGAGGCUGAGGCAUGAGAAUCACUUGAACCUGGGAGGUAGAGGUUGCGAUGAGCCGAGAUCACGCCAUCACACUCCAGCCUGGGCAACAAGAGCGAAACUCCAUCUCAAAAAAAAAAGGUAAGUCUUGCUCUGUAAAUGAAUAUAUCUUUCCAGUAUAAUUUUUUAUAUUUAAACUUAGCUACUUUAAAAUUAUUUAAUCAUUAUUUUACGAUUUAA
rnacentral:lncRNA from 1 species